CUAUAAAUAUUGCUAGCUUACCCGGCCAACCAGGCCACCAAAAGGGGCAAAUCAAUCUCGUUCACUCGUUCUACCUGGCACGACCCCGCUUUCCACACUGGCCGUUGGAUGCGGUAAGUUUUUGUUCCCCCACCGCUGCUUGUUCAUAGUCUAUGAUGCUUGGGCCCGUUUUCGUAUGGGACCAGCGGUAAGAGGAAGCAGCCAACUCCUCUUCCGUGCGCUGGAGAGAAGCAGCACGGGUGCCGCCGCCUCGUGCCUCGCGGUAAAACCUAGAUCUCCAUCUGCCAAAAAUAUCUGGCCACCUCCUACUCGUCCCCUUUCUCCCGUUUUCGAGCUCGGCGGCGCGGAGGGUGAGUCGCGGGCGAGAGCGUCGUCCCGGAGGAGGCCGGCGGCACGGGCGGCGAGUGGAUUGAGGCGGCGGUCGGCCGGCUCAGAGGUCGAGCUCGCGCCAUCUCGCCCUCCUGGCCGCGUAUGCGGGUACAACGGCGGCGGAUGCUUCGGGAGAGGAGGAUGCGCGGUGGUCUGGUGGUAGAGAACCAGCGAGGGACAGCGGUGGGACAGAGGUGGAGGAGCAUGUGGCCAUCCUUUUCCCUCUCCUUCUCACUUUCUCUCUCUGUCCACAGAUCGUGAAGAGGCGGCGGCGUCGCUCCGCUGCGCCGGCGUGGGGCAAGAUGGAGGAGGGGCUUGAGGAGGAUGUCUCCUCCCAGGCACCCACGACCUCGCAGGACGAGAUGGCUUGGCCGCACCCUUGACGCGCUCGCCGAGCGGCGAGCGGGCCGAACCGGUCGACACAACCGGCGGCGAUGGCGGAUCCACCGCCGCACAUCGGAGGCGACGCUCGUUCUUCUCCUAACUACCCAGAAGGCACCAACCCCCAAUCCUCUGGCUCGGCCGAGCUGCCAGAGGAGCGGCAGCACAAAACGGGGGAGCAGCAAGGCGGCGACAGCGGGUGGACGAUGGCGUUUGUUUAGAGACGGCAGCAGGUGGGUGACGGCAGCCUCGGGUGGUUGAGGACGGUUGCCUGGUAGAAGCGCGAUUCCUCUGAGAGCUCUGCUGGAGGCAGCGGUUGUACUGGAGAGGGGCGGCAGUGCAGAACGUUUAAGCAGUUUUGUUUCUCUACGCCUAUGGUGUGUUCGAUGGAAUUCCAAUGAGGUUGGGCCAGGCUUGAUCUAUGUAAGCCAUGUGAGUUCUACACAUGCAUAAGAAGAAUCCAUGGGCUACUAUUUCAGUAAAAUAUUUGAUGUGCUAAAACAAUAAUGUGGAGAGAAGUUGUUUCUCCAAUGAAAAGUAAUAGGCUUUGGGUGGUGGUAGAUUCAAACACCGAUGGCUACAACUGCAAGAAGCUGCGACUCUAAAACACCAGAGGUCUUGGUGAACUCAUUGGAGGUGUCGUUCGAGUUCUACAGGAUCUCCUCCACAUUGAUGUGCUAGCCAUCCAGAAGGAGAGGAUGUCGACGCUGUGAAGUGGUAGGCGAGAAUACCGCACGUGUUCUGCAAGAUGCUCAUCUUCUUCGACGCCCUCGACACAUCCAUGAUUCCUCUUCUCCGGCAGCGACACGGUCAAUAGCGAUGCCAUUGACUUCCGCCUUCAUGACUUCUUCACUGCCACUUUAGCCAGCAAGGUCGGCCGUUGUUAUGAGGAAGAGCUGCUAAAGGCUGAUUGACUAGGGCAAGGUGGCGCGACGGUGAUCAUCCAGAGCAUCUGCCAGAGUUAUCUCAGCAUGUUAUUUAUCUUCUCCGUAUAUCUCAGCCAUCAGUUUAACCAAACCCACUCUGGAGUUAUUUUUUUUGGAUGAAAACCCAUUUGCUACUCCUGCUUUAAUUUAGGCCAAACUGCAACAAAUGUGUUUCUUGAUCAUGCAUGCUCAUGGUGUUGUGGAUUAUUUCCUUUCUUUGCACAAGGGAUUAGUUCAGUGACAGUUUAUUCACUAUUCAUUCCGAGAAGAUAUGCUGUUGGUUGGGGUGACACAACAACAUGUGCUGCAGCUCAGUGAGUCAGCCUAGCCAGAUCUCAAUAUCUAUAUUCAACUGUCUAGCUACGGAAGGACAUGAUGCCCCUGAAGUUUUCUUGUCUCCUGAUCUAGGAGGUUGUCUAGCCGUUCUCACUGCCUUGGAGUUCAGGUUUAAGCACCAAGAGGUUGUUGCUUCUCAAUUGACACUCAGUUGUCCAAAAGUAAAAAAGUGCUUAUGAAAUUUGCGGACUUAAAUGGAAAGUUUGACACACAUCUUUCAUGUACUUGAGUCAGGCUCUUGCCAAGGGAAGAUGCAUGUCCUUCCCCAAUUCUCCGCCUAAAAAAAGGUUUCAGAGGGAGUCGAUCUGCCCAGUGCAGGGCAUUGGUGAAACCAGAAACUCUUGGGUCGUUUGGUUAUUGUUCAAAAAGCCUCUUUUCCCUAUUUACCAGCCAAUCAAAGACCAAUCGUGACAAUUCAGUUGCUUUAGGCUGUGCGGUUAGUAUGUGUGAGUGUGACUGCUCACAUUUUGCAAGCAGAGCAGCCCAAUAAUUUUUUCCUGAAUGGAUCGCUCUUCUCUGUGUUAACUCCUGGGUAUUGCUCCAAGGAUAGGAAAUGUUAGUUCACCUUGACCAACCUAAUAUUGUUGAGUAGACGGUGUUCAGUGUUGUGAAUACUACCCUGCAAUAUUUGUAAAGCUUUCAUGUCCACAGAUUUGACGAAUUUAUUCAGUAAAAAUGCAAUCCGCGUAUUUGUUUAA